rnacentral:rRNA from 1 species
AUUGAACGCUGGCGGCAUGCUUUACGCAUGCAAGUCGAACGGUAACAGGCCUUCGGGUGCUGACGAGUGGCGAACGGGUUGGUAAUGCAUCGGAACGUGCCCAGAGGUGGGGGAUAACGCAGCGAAAGCUGUGCUAAUACCGCAUGUGAUCUGAGGAUGAAAUCGGGGUACCAGGCAGCACUGUUUGGCCUCGCGCCUUUGUAGCCGCCGAUGUCAGAUUAGGUAGUUGGUGGGGUAAAGGCCUACCAAGCCGACGAUCUGUAGCUGGUCUGAGAGGACGAGUAGCCGCACUGGGAAUUAGGCACGGCCUAGCGUCCGACGGUAGGCAGCAGUGUGGAACUUUAGACAAUGGGCGCAAGCCCGAUACAGCAAUGCCGAGUGAGGGAAGAAGGCCUUGCGAUUGUAAACCGCUUGUGUACGGAACGAAAAGGCUCUGGCUAAUACCUGAUGUUGAUGACGGUAGCGUAAGAAUAAGCAACGGCUAGCUACGUG